rnacentral:rRNA from 1 species
GAUGAACGCUGGCGGCGUGCCUAAUACAUGCAAGUCGAGCGAACGGACGAGAAGCUUGCUUCUCUUAUGUUAGCGGCGGACGGGUGAGUAACACGUGGAUAACCUACCUAUAAGACUGGGAUAACUUCGGGAAACCGGAGCUAAUACCGGAUGAUAUUUUGAACCGCAUGGUUCAAAAGUGAAAGACGGUCUUGCUGUCACUUAUAGAUGGAUCCGCGCUGCAUUAGCUAGUUGGUAAGGUAACGGCUUACCAAGGCAACGAUGCAUAGCCGACCUGAGAGGGUGAUCGGCCACACUGGAACUGAGACACGGUCCAGACUCCUACGGGAGGCAGCAGUAGGGAAUCUUCCGCAAUGGGCGAAAGCCUGACGGAGCAACGCCGCGUGAGUGAUGAAGGUCUUCGGAUCGUAAAACUCUGUUAUUAGGGAAGAACAUAUGUGUAAGUAACUGUGCACAUCUUGACGGUACCUAAUCAGAAAGCCACGGCUAACUACGUG